rnacentral:rRNA from 1 species
GUGGGGAAUUUUGGACAAUGGGGGCAACCCUGAUCCAGCCAUUCCGCGUGAGUGAAGAAGGCCUUCGGGUUGUAAAGCUCUUUCAGCUGGAACGAAACGGUACGCUCUAACAUAGCGUGCUAAUGACGGUACCAGCAGAAGAAGCACCGGCUAACUACGUGCCAGCAGCCGCGGUAAUACGUAGGGUGCGAGCGUUAAUCGGAAUUACUGGGCGUAAAGCGUGCGCAGGCGGAUUGUUAAGCAAGACGUGAAAUCCCCGGGCUUAACCUGGGAAUGGCGUUUUGAACUGGCAGUCUAGAGUGUGUCAGAGGGGGGUGGAAUUCCACGUGUAGCAGUGAAAUGCGUAGAGAUGUGGAGGAACACCGAUGGCGAAGGCAGCCCCCUGGGAUAACACUGACGCUCAUGUACGAAAGCGUGGGUAGCAAACAGGAUUAGAUACCCGAGUAGUCC